CCGGGAGAUAGCUGGUUCUCCCCGAAAGCUAUUUAGGUAGCGCCUCGUGAAUUCAUCUCCGGGGGUAGAGCACUGUUUCGGCAAGGGGGUCAUCCCGACUUACCAACCCGAUGCAAACUGCGAAUACCGGAGAAUGUUAUCACGGGAGACACACGGCGGGUGCUAACGUCCGUCGUGAAGAGGGAAACAACCCAGACCGCCAGCUAAGGUCCCAAAGUCAUGGUUAAGUGGGAAACGAUGUGGGAAGGCCCAGACAGCCAGGAUGUUGGCUUAGAAGCAGCCAUCAUUUAAAGAAAGCGUAAUAGCUCACUGGUCGAGUCGGCCUGCGCGGAAGAUGUAACGGGGCUAAACCAUGCACCGAAGCUGCGGCAGCGACGCUUAUGCGUUGUUGGGUAGGGGAGCGUUCUGUAAGCCUGUGAAGGUGUGCUGUGAGGCAUGCUGGAGGUAUCAGAAGUGCGAAUGCUGACAUAAGUAACGAUAAAGCGGGUGAAAAGCCCGCUCGCCGGAAGACCAAGGGUUCCUGUCCAACGUUAAUCGGGGCAGGGUGAGUCGACCCCUAAGGCGAGGCCGAAAGGCGUAGUCGAUGGGAAACAGGUUAAUAUUCCUGUACUUGGUGUUACUGCGAAGGGGGGACGGAGAAGGCUAUGUUGGCCGGGCGACGGUUGUCCCGGUUUAAGCGUGUAGGCUGGUUUUCCAGGCAAAUCCGGAAAAUCAAGGCUGAGGCGUGAUGACGAGGCACUACGGUGCUGAAGCAACAAAUGCCCUGCUUCCAGGAAAAGCCUCUAAGCAUCAGGUAACAUCAAAUCGUACCCCAAACCGACACAGGUGGUCAGGUAGAGAAUACCAAGGCGCUUGAGAGAACUCGGGUGAAGGAACUAGGCAAAAUGGUGCCGUAACUUCGGGAGAAGGCACGCUGAUAUGUAGGUGAAGUCCCUCGCGGAUGGAGCUGAAAUCAGUCGAAGAUACCAGCUGGCUGCAACUGUUUAUUAAAAACACAGCACUGUGCAAACACGAAAGUGGACGUAUACGGUGUGACGCCUGCCCGGUGCCGGAAGGUUAAUUGAUGGGGUCAGCGCAAGCGAAGCUCUUGAUCGAAGCCCCGGUAAACGGCGGCCGUAACUAUAACGGUCCUAAGGUAGCGAAAUUCCUUGUCGGGUAAGUUCCGACCUGCACGAAUGGCGUAAUGAUGGCCAGGCUGUCUCCACCCGAGACUCAGUGAAAUUGAACUCGCUGUGAAGAUGCAGUGUACCCGCGGCAAGACGGAAAGACCCCGUGAACCUUUACUAUAGCUUGACACUGAACAUUGAGCCUUGAUGUGUAGGAUAGGUGGGAGGCUUAGAAGUGUGGACGCCAGUCUGCAUGGAGCCGACCUUGAAAUACCACCCUUUAAUGUUUGAUGUUCUAACGUUGACCCGUAAUCCGGGUUGCGGACAGUGUCUGGUGGGUAGUUUGACUGGGGCGGUCUCCUCCUAAAGAGUAACGGAGGAGCACGAAGGUUGGCUAAUCCUGGUCGGACAUCAGGAGGUUAGUGCAAUGGCAUAAGCCAGCUUGACUGCGAGCGUGACGGCGCGAGCAGGUGCGAAAGCAGGUCAUAGUGAUCCGGUGGUUCUGAAUGGAAGGGCCAUCGCUCAACGGAUAAAAGGUACUCCGGGGAUAACAGGCUGAUACCGCCCAAGAGUUCAUAUCGACGGCGGUGUUUGGCACCUCGAUGUCGGCUCAUCACAUCCUGGGGCUGAAGUAGGUCCCAAGGGUAUGGCUGUUCGCCAUUUAAAGUGGUACGCGAGCUGGGUUUAGAACGUCGUGAGACAGUUCGGUCCCUAUCUGCCGUGGGCGCUGGAGAACUGAGGGGGGCUGCUCCUAGUACGAGAGGACCGGAGUGGACGCAUCACUGGUGUUCGGGUUGUCAUGCCAAUGGCACUGCCCGGUAGCUAAAUGCGGAAGAGAUAAGUGCUGAAAGCAUCUAAGCACGAAACUUGCC
rnacentral:rRNA from 1 species